rnacentral:rRNA from 1 species
CCUACGGGCGGCAGCAGUGGGGAAUUUUGGACAAUGGGCGCAAGCCUGAUCCAGCAAUGCCGCGUGCAGGACGAAGGCCUUCGGGUUGUAAACUGCUUUUGUACAGAACGAAAAGCUCUUCUCUAAUACAGGGGGGUAAUGACGGUACUGUAAGAAUAAGCACCGGCUAACUACGUGCCAGCAGCCGCGGUAAUACGUAGGGUGCGAGCGUUAAUCGGAAUUACUGGGCGUAAAGCGUGCGCAGGCGGUUUUGUAAGACAGAGGUGAAAUCCCCGGGCGUAACCUGGGAACUGCCUUUGUGACUGCAAGGCUUGAGUGCGGCAGAGGGGGAUGGAAUUCCGCGUGUAGCAGUGAAAUGCGUAGAUAUGCGGAGGAACACCGAUGGCGAAGGCAGUCCCCUGGGCCUGCACUGACGCUCAUGCACGAAAGCGUGGGGAGCAAACAGGAUUAGAUACCCCGGUAGUC